rnacentral:rRNA from 1 species
AGAACGAACGCUGGCGGCAGGCUUAACACAUGCAAGUCGAACGCGUGUAGCAAUACACGAGUGGCGCACGGGUGAGUAACGCGUGGAUAUCUGCCUUUUGGUUCGGAAUAACCCCGGGAAGCUGGGGCUAAUACCGGAUGGUUCCUACGGGAUAAAGAUUUAUCGCCAAAAGAUGAGUCCGCGUACGAUUAGCUAGUUGGUGAGGUAAUGGCUCACCAAGGCGACGAUCGUUAGCUGGUCUGAGAGGACGAUCAGCCACACUGGGACUGAGACACGGCCCAGACUCCUACGGGAGGCAGCAGUGGGGAAUAUUGGACAAUGGGGGCAACCCUGAUCCAGCCAUGCCGCGUGAGUGAUGAAGGCCUUCGGGUUGUAAAGCUCUUUUGGCGGGGACGAUGAUGACGGUACCCGCAGAAUAAGCCCGGCUAACUUCGUGCCAGCAGCCGC